CCGCCUACGUUUUUAUCCGGAGCUUCGUUACUUUUUUGAAAGAAAAAUAAUAAUAAUAAGAAGAAGUCCUUCUGGCAGCUGCCUCCUGAUUGGUCUUCAACACAGAGGUCUUGAUACACUGGUGAGGACUUUAUAUUUU
ensembl:lncRNA